rnacentral:lncRNA from 1 species
GGGAAGUACGUUCCUCAACUACAACAUUCUACAUAUGACCCUCAACAUAUUUAAGUAUUAUUAUUUUGAACACAGUACAAUCGAAAUCGCUUAUAAACACGAGCAUACGUUCAUCCCUAUGAAUAUGCACAUCCAUACCCUACCUCUAUGAGCAUCUUCGAGAGACUGAAUCGGUAUAGCACCUUGAGAUUUUACGAAAUCAUCACGGACGACUUGCAGUCAACAUCAUGUCUCCUUCCUCUGAACGAACAUCACCGGAAGCCUGAAAUAAAUUCAGACAUAAUGCGAGCAUGAAUAUCAAAUUUAAAAUUUAAACCCUGGUGAGGUGGAGGUACCACUGUUUACCUAACCAUCCAACCGUAACAUGUUUAAGUAUAUUAUUCAGGUGCCAAAGACACAUGCUACACUGAAGCAUUUGCUGACAUGGCUGGCUGAUCACAUACGUAUAUUAGUUUGGAAAAGUGAUUCUAUGCUCUGCGAGUCUACUCAUAUACCGGGCAGAUAAUUUGAUAAUGCCGUACUAACUAUUUUUAAUAUACUUCACCGGUAGAGGAAGUUACUAGAUACCCCAAAGGGAGUGCUAUGAAAAAACUCAUGUGAGUACUUAUGUAUUUUUAUAGAGCUUCAUAUAUCCUGGUCUUAUGUGCAUACAAG